rnacentral:rRNA from 1 species
AUUGAACGCUGGCGGCAGGCUUAACACAUGCAAGUCGAGCGGGGUGAUGGUGCUUGCACUAUCACUUAGCGGCGGACGGGUGAGUAAUGCUUAGGAAUCUGCCUAUUAGUGGGGGACAACAUCUCGAAAGGGAUGCCAAUACCGCAUACGUCCUACGGGAGAAAGCAGGGGAUCACUUGUGACCUUGCGCUAAUAGAUGACCCUAAGUCGGAUUAGCUAGUUGGUGGGGUAAAGGCCUACCAAGGCGACGAUCUGUAGCGGGUCUGAGAGGAUGAUCCGCCACACUGGGACUGAGACACGGCCCAGACUCCUACGGGAGGCAGCAGUGGGGAAUAUUGGACAAUGGGGGGAACCCUGAUCCAGCCAUGCCGCGUGUGUGGAGAAGGCCUUAUGGUUGUAAAGCACUUUAAGCGAGGAGGAGGCUCUUUUGGUUAAUACCCAAGAUGAGUGGACGUUACUCGCAGAAUAAGCACCGGCUAACUCUGUGCCAGCCGCCGCAGUAA